UUUUUUUUUUUUUUAACCCAAGCUGACUACUCAGGUCCGCCAUAGACUCAAAAUAGUGUCCAGUUGUGAAAUGAGCAGUAGAAAUGAACCAAACCUCUGGUGUCUUUUUCUGAGGAUGUAAAGCAGAGAGAGGCCUCUACUUUAUUUCCUCUCUGUUUAGAGCAUUCAGUCAAUAGUACCAGCUUCUUUGGCUCCAAGUGUGGGAUUCAGGAGGUGUCCUGAAUCAUCUGAAGUGGCAGCCCAGGGCUGUUCUGAACCAAGCUGAGAAAGUGGCACAAUGCUGUGUUGCAGGAAGUGAAAGAUGCCCCUUAGCCUCUGUGUCACUUGCUCAUGCUAGUGACACAGUCAGCAACUACAGAUACAGAGAAGACAGCCACACAGGCUUGGAAGCAGGCAUUGGCCUUUGGGACAAGGAACCCCAGUGGCCCUCACUCCCAGAGCAUGGCCUAAAAAGGUAUGUGUGUGUGUGUGUGUGUGUGUACAUGCAUGAGUAUAUACGUGCACACGUGCACAUGCAUGUGUGUACGUGUGUGUGCAUGUGUGCGUGCUGUGGUUGGGCACAUCACCAUGAGUAUGUUGGAGCAAGGAUUUUCUUUUCUCAAGC
rnacentral:lncRNA from 1 species